AGAUGCAUAAGUUUGAGACUUGACAUCCUCUAAAUAUCUGGAAAAUACCGCGUGAAUGGUGUUUCCAUAUUUUAGUGGAUUCUUGCUUGGGAUUCCAUAUCUUGUGGAUCAAUAUUCAUUUUCAAAUUCAAUCUUUCCGAAAGAAAAUUUAUCAACCGCUCUGACUUUUUAUCAGCGAAGUUGAUGUUGAAAACGCCACCGAAGAUGAGUGGAAAUUUGUUACCGCUGAUAAUCCGAUUGAAAUACCUAUUUGGUCGCCAAUAAUAUAAUAUCGAUUCACAAAUCAUCAAGCACAAGUUCAUACAACUGUGUCUAAAAUGAUUAAUUGAAAAAUUUCAUUUAUAUUUUUAGCAAGACACAAUUAUAAGAUGAUAGAAUUCUGGUAAAAAGAGCCGAGAAAAUAUGAAAUACAAUCGAGUUCAUAACGAUGAGUCAUACCAUAUAUUGGUCAUACAUUACAUACUGUGAUACUUCGUCCGAAAAUGUACAUAGUGUAGAUAGCUACAGCUACUAUUUAUUAAAAAAUAAUAAAAUAUAAAUAAAUAUAGUUUAAAAACACUAAAAAAAAAACGCUUUUAAAGAAUAUCGAACGAAAAAGUUGAAAAUAAUUUUAAAAAUUAACUUAAAAAAAUAGUAUAUAAAAAAUACUAGUAUAAUAAUAAUCGCCCUAAGCCUUUUCCUCAAUUUAAAGUAAUUAAAGUUUAAAUAAAUUAAAGUUUUUUUAAACUAUAUUUAUUUAAUAUAAGGCUUAUGGUAGAAGCAGCGAAUAUAAAUUAACGUUCUCUGGUAGAAGUACACAUUGCGUUGUGAGCAGCGAUUUGUUUUGUUGAAACGCAACCACCAAUCUUGAAUAUAUGUAUAUAAGUUUUCAUUCACUCGUAUAAACGGUCUUCGAAUUCUCAGAAAUGUUAACGAAUUGUGAAUUGAAAACAUUGGACAUUUGCGAAAUAAAGCAUACUUACCUGGCGUAGAGGUUACCGUGAUCAUGAAGGCGGUUCCUCCGGAGUGAGGCUUGACCAUUGCACCUUCGGUUGAGUUGACCCCCGCGAUUAUUCCUAAUGCGAAUAACUCGUGCGUGUAAUUUUUGGUAGCCGGGAAUGGCGUUCGCGCCGUCCCGACAUUGUUGAAUGUAUAAUAUGGAAAUAAGUAAAUGGAAGGGAUUUUGUCGCUUUUAUUGAAAUAAACGAUGAGGAUAUUAUUAUCAGGGGUGUUGCAAGAUUCUGAUAGUUAUCGAAAGCAGAAUGGAAACCGAUAUGAAAAUGUAGUAGCGUCAUGAAUUUCAGAUAUUAUUUAUGUUCGAAACAGAAAUUUUAUCGGUUUGUUAUCAGAAGCGCAAAGCAAUUCACCGACAGGCUUGAAAUGGAAAAACAUAAAAAUAAAACAAAAUGUCAUAAUUAUGAGUUUAUGUGACAAACUAUUUGAGAGGAUUUACAAACUGUAAUUUAACACGCAAAUGCGUUGUUAUGAGUACAAGAAUAAAGGGCACAAUUUUUCGACUUUUCCAUCGCAGACAAAAGUUUUCUGUUUCUGUUGUUUUUGGAACUAAUAUGACGGUUAGUCGAGGCGUUUGCGACUGGACCGAGGCAAUAAUUUUUCAACAAGACAACGUCGGCCUGUUGCAAAACCGAUUAAAACUUUUUAGAAAACUGCGGCUGUUUUUUGCCUCACCCGCCCAGACUUGCCCCCCUUCUGAGUACCAUUUGUUCAGGUCGCUGUCAGUUGGAAUGCAUAUCACAUAAUAAAAAACAAUAAAAUAAAAGCUAAAAUAGCGUAACUCAUUGUAAACUUUAGUAGACUUUAUUCGGUAUUUCAAAUUUAUCAAACACCUCCAAAUUUAUUCAUUUGCAAGUUUUGUCACAAUAGUAAACAGCUGAUUUGAAUAUUGGUUUUGCAUAUGUUCACAAAAAGACGAAAAUCCAAUCAGAUCUGUGACACCAUUGAAAAUCAGAAUUGGUUUGCAAUUCUGAUAACUACGCGAAUCUGUCUUGGAUUCCCACAACACCCCUGUAUGCAUAGUAUUUCAUUAUUUUAAUUUAGAGAAAAGUUAAAGUGCCGAGUACAAGAAUAAAGGGCACAUUUUGCGACUUUUCCAUCGCAGACAAAAGUUUUCUGUUUCUAGUUGUUUUUGGAACUUUUUUAGAACUUAAUUGACGGUUAGUGGAGGUGUUUGAGACUAGACUGAGGCAAUAAGGACAAGUCGGCCUGUUGCAAAACCGGUUAAAAACUUUUUAGAAAAAUGCGGCGGUUUUUUGCCUCACCCGCUUAGACUUGCCCCCCUUCUGACUACCAUUUGUUCUGGUCGAUUCAGGACGCCGUCAGUUAGAAUGAAUAUCACAUCAAAUAAAUAUAUGUAGCUUUAACAAAGAACCGAGUUUUAGGAGCCCGUACUUGUCAUGCUCUUUUGGACCCACUAAAUACAGAGCUUUUCCGUUGAUUUGGUUGGCACAUGCUUUUCUCACGUUCAGAGGUGUCGUAAUUUUUCAUCAACUAGUCACAAAUCCGAUCAAGAACGACUUUUUACAGCUUAAACAAAACACAAUACGGGCGACGAGAAUAUUCGUCUACUCGGCGACUAGAACACACGAUUGUAUAUGAAUAUGAACACAAAACGCGGCGACGGCAAAAUCUCGCACACCAGACGAUUUUUGAGAUAGAGUUAUUUUUAUUUAGAUAAAAAUCUCUAGAAUUCCCAAAAAAAAUGUUUGCGUUGGCGUUGGCAAUAUUAAAUCGUUUGUAUUUGGUUUGGUUUGUGAAAUCUUUGAGCGCGAAUAUACACUAACUGCGAUGAAAAU